rnacentral:rRNA from 1 species
AUUGAACGCUGGCGGCAUGCUUUACACAUGCAAGUCGAACGGUAACAGGGUGCUUGCACCGCUGACGAGUGGCGAACGGGUGAGUAAUGCGUCGGAACGUGCCGAGUAGUGGGGGAUAACGCAGCGAAAGUUGUGCUAAUACCGCAUACGUACUGAGGUAGAAAGUGGGGGACCUUCGGGCCUCACGCUAUUCGAGCGGCCGACGUCUGAUUAGCUAGUAGGUGAGGUAAAGGCUCACCUAGGCGACGAUCAGUAGCGGGUCUGAGAGGAUGAUCCGCCACACGGGGACUGAGACACGGCCCAGACUCCUACGGGAGGCAACAGUGGGGAAUUUUGGACAAUGGGCGAAAGCCUGAUCCAGCCAUGCCGCGUGUCUGAAGAAGGCCUUCGGGUUGUAAAGGACUUUUGUCAGGGAGGAAAUCCCUAGUGCUAAUAACACUGGGGGAUGACAGUACCUGAAGAAUAAGCACCGGCUAACUACGUGCAGCCGCCGCAGUAA